GACGAACGCUGGCGGCGUGCUUAACACAUGCAAGUCGAGCGAUGAAACUUCUUCGGAAGUGGAUUAGCGGCGGACGGGUGAGUAACACGUGGGCAACCUGCCCUAUAGAGGGGAAUAGCCUUCCGAAAGGAAGAUUAAUACCCCAUAAGAUUGUAAUUUCGCAUGAAACAGCAAUUAAAGGAGUAAUCCACUAUAGGAUGGGCCCGCGUCGCAUUAGCUAGUUGGUGAGGUAACGGCUCACCAAGGCGACGAUGCGUAGCCGACCUGAGAGGGUGAUCGGCCACAUUGGGACUGAGACACGGCCCAGACUCCUACGGGAGGCAGCAGUGGGGAAUAUUGCACAAUGGGGGAAACCCUGAUGCAGCAACGCCGCGUGAGUGAUGACGGCCUUCGGGUUGUAAAGCUCUGUCUUUGGGGACGAUAAUGACGGUACCCAAGGAGGAAGCCACGGCUAACUACGUGCCAGCAGCCGCGGUAACAC
rnacentral:rRNA from 1 species